rnacentral:rRNA from 1 species
AACGAACGCUGGCGGCAGGCUUAACACAUGCAAGUCGAACGCCCCGCAAGGGGAGUGGCAGACGGGUGAGUAACACGUGCGAACAUGCCCAAAGGUACGGAAUAUUCUCGGGAAACUGGGAGCAAUACCGUAUGUGCCCGAAAGGGGAAAGAUUUAUCGCCUUGGGAUUGGCCCGCGUUGGAUUAGCUAGUUGGUGAGGUAAAGGCUCACCAAGGCGACGAUCCAUAGCUGGUCUGAGAGGAUGAUCAGCCACACUGUGACUGAGACACGGCCCAGACUCCUACGGGAGGCAGCAGUGGGGAAUAUUGGACAAUGGGCGAAAGCCUGAUCCAGCCAUGCCGCGUGAGUGAUGAAGGCCUUAGGGUUGUAAAGCUCUUUCAGUGGGGAAGAUAAUGACGGUACCCACAGAAGAAGCCCCGGCUAACUUCGUGCCAGCCGCCGCGGUAACAC